rnacentral:snoRNA from 1 species
CAGAGUGAUGAUCACUUGACCGGAAAGGCAUUCCUCAAUCUGAAUAUACAUUGUCGAUACCGUCUAUAGUUUCAGCCUUGUCUGAUU